AUUGAACGCUGGCGGCAUGCCUUACACAUGCAAGACGAACGGUAACAGGCCGCAAGGUGCUGACGAGUGGCGAACGGGUGAGUAAUGCAUCGGAACGUGCCCAGUCGUGGGGGAUAACGCAGCGAAAGCUGUGCUAAUACCGCAUACGAUCUAUGGAUGAAAGCGGGGGACCGUAAGGCCUCGCGCGAUUGGAGCGGCCGAUGUCAGAUUAGGUAGUUGGUGGGGUAAAGGCCUACCAAGCCGACGAUCUGUAGCUGGUCUGAGAGGACGACCAGCCAAACUGGGACUGAGACACGGCCCAGACUCCUACGGGAGGCAGCAGUGGGGAAUUUUGGACAAUGGGCGCAAGCCUGAUCCAGCAAUGCCGCGUGCAGGAAGAAGGCCUUCGGGUUGUAAACUGCUUUUGUACGGAACGAAACGGUCUGGGUUAAUACCCUGGGCUAAUGACGGUACCGUAAGAAUAAGCACCGGCUAACUACGUGCCAGCAGCCGCCGUAAAAC
rnacentral:rRNA from 1 species